AGACAACAUCAGAAUGUCCCUACGGGUUGGUUAGGUAGUAGGGCCAUUUUGUGUUGUCAGC
rnacentral:pre_miRNA from 1 species